rnacentral:rRNA from 1 species
UACGAGGGGGCGAGCGUUGUUCGGAAUUAUUGGGCGUAAAGGGUGCGUAGGCGGUUCCGCAAGUCCUGUGUGAAAUCUUCGGGCUCAACUCGAAGUCUGCACGGGAAACUGCGGGGCUUGAGUGUGGGAGAGGUGAGUGGAAUUCCCGGUGUAGCGGUGAAAUGCGUAGAUAGUCGGGAGGAACACCUGUGGCGAAAGCGGCUCACUGGACCAUAACUGACGCUGAUGCACGAAAGCUGGGGGAGCAAACAGG